GGUCUGGCUGGGCGGUCUGCCUCACGGUAUGUACUGUCUGGCUGGGUCUUACCUCUUGGUGAGCCGGCAUGCCCUUCACUGGGUGUGUCGGGGAACCAGGACUUUUACCUUGAGAAAAUUAGAGUGUUCAAAGCAGGCUUAUGCCCGAAUACAUUAGCAUGGAAUAAUAAAAUAGGACGU
rnacentral:rRNA from 1 species